GUGGGGCAGAUAAUUGGGGUGAAGUCGUAACAAGGUAUCCCUACCGGAAGGUGGGGAUGGAUCACCUCCUUU
rnacentral:rRNA from 1 species